CCUACGGGCGGCAGCAGUGGGGAAUAUUGGACAAUGGGCGAAAGCCUGAUCCAGCCAUGCCGCGUGUGUGAAGAAGGCCUUCGGGUUGUAAAGCACUUUCAGUGGGGAAGAAAGCCUUGGGGCUAAUACCCUCGAGGAAGGACAUCACCCACAGAAGAAGCACCGGCUAACUCCGUGCCAGCAGCCGCGGUAAUACGGAGGGUGCGAGCGUUAAUCGGAAUUACUGGGCGUAAAGCGCGCGUAGGCGGUCUGAUAAGCCGGUUGUGAAAGCCCCGGGCUCAACCUGGGAACGGCAUCCGGAACUGUCAGGCUAGAGUGCAGGAGAGGAAGGUAGAAUUCCCGGUGUAGCGGUGAAAUGCGUAGAGAUCGGGAGGAAUACCAGUGGCGAAGGCGGCCUUCUGGACUGACACUGACGCUGAGGUGCGAAAGCGUGGGUAGCAAACAGGAUUAGACACCCGAGUAGUC
rnacentral:rRNA from 1 species